AAAUGCGAUAAGUAAUGUGAAUUGCAGAAUUCAGUGAAUCAUCGAAUCUUUGAACGCACAUUGCGCCCGCCAGUAUUCUGGCGGGCAUGCCUGUUCGAGCGUCAUUUCAACCAUCAAGCCCCCGGCUUGUGUUGGGGACCCGCGGCUGCCCGCAGGCCCUGAAAAACAGUGGCGGGCUCGCUGUCACACCGAGCGUAGUAGCAUACAUUCUCGCUCAGGGCGUGCUGCGGGUUCCGGCCGUUAAACGACCUUCAUAACCCAAGGUUGACCUCGGAUCAGGUAGGAAGACCCGCUGAACUUAAGC
rnacentral:misc_RNA from 1 species